rnacentral:rRNA from 1 species
UACAGAGGGGGCCAGCGUUAUUCGGAAUUAUUGGGCGUAAAGGGCGCGUAGGCGGCCAUGCGUGUCUUCCGUGAAAUCCCUCGGCUUAACCGAGGACGUGCGGAAGAAACUGCAAGGCUCGAGUCCGGAAGAGGGGGGCGGAAUUCCCAGUGUAGCGGUGAAAUGCGUAGAUAUUGGGAGGAACACCAGUGGCGAAGGCGGUCCCCUGGGCCGGAACUGACGCUGAGGCGCGAAAGCUAGGGGAGCGAACGGG